CCUACGGGAGGCAGCAGUGGGGGAUAUUGGACAAUGGGGGAAACCCUGAUCCAGCGACGCCGCGUGAGUGAAGAAGUAUUUCGGUAUGUAAAGCUCUAUCAGCAGGGAAGAAAGAAAUGACGGUACCUGAGUAAGAAGCCCCGGCUAACUACGUGCCAGCAGCCGCGGCAAUACGUAGGGGGCAAGCGUUAUCCGGAAUUACUGGGUGUAAAGGGAGCGUAGACGGUAAUGCAAGUCUGGAGUGAAAGGCGGGGGCCCAACCCCCGGACUGCUCUGGAAACUGUGUAACGGGAGUGCAGGAGAGGCAGGCGGAAUUCCUAGUGGAGCGGUGAAAUGCGGAGAUAUUAGGAGGAACACCAGUGGCGUAGGCGGCCUGCUGGACUGUAACUGACGUUGAGGCUCGAAAGCGUGGGGAGCAAACAGGAUUAGAUACCCCGGUAGUC
rnacentral:rRNA from 1 species